UAGGGAAUCUUCCGCAAUGGACGCAAGUCUGACGGAGCAACGCCGCGUGAGUGAAGAAGGAUUUCGGUUCGUAAAACUCUGUUGUUAGAGAAGAACAGCGCAUAGAGUAACUGUUAUGCGUGUGACGGUAUCUAACCAGAAAGCCACGGCUAACUACGUGCCAGCAGCCGCGGUAAUACGUAGGUGGCAAGCGUUGUCCGGAUUUAUUGGGCGUAAAGCGAGCGCAGGCGGUCAAUUAAGUCUGAUGUGAAAGCCCCCGGCUCAACCGGGGAGGGUCAAUGGAAACUGGUUGACUUGAGUGCAGAAGAGGAGAGUGGAAUUCCAUGUGUAGCGGUGAAAUGCGUAGAUAUAUGGAGGAACACCAGUGGCGAAGGCGACUCUCUGGUCUGUAACUGACGCUGAGGUUCGAAAGCGUGGGUAGCAAACAGG
rnacentral:rRNA from 1 species